rnacentral:lncRNA from 1 species
UCUGUUCCUCAGACGCAAAUAGUUUUCCCUCAGAUGUGAGCGGUUAUUCUUCCAUCUCACCCAUCUCCAGGAACAGGCAACUGAAAACAAAGGCGAAACAAAAUGAAAGAAGAAUCUUAAAAUGGCUACCCAUCCUCUCGCCUUGCCCUCAGGGGCGAGCAGUGUACCUUAUCACUUAUCCUCAGUUGUUCCCUGUGCAGGCCACCAAAUGCCACAGUCUGGCUGGGCACAAUUCACGAGCCACUUGUCAAGGAGAAAUGAACUUUAUUUUCAGAACACACACGCGGCACCACACCUAUAAGCUCUUCAAGAAUUCCCUCAGAGCCCAACUGCCACCACCAGCUUCUGGGGAGCAUCUCAACCCCCCACUCCUCCUAGUGUUGAGGCUGAUUGGCUGGGUCACAUGGGCGGAGCCAAAAGAGUCCCCCAAUGAGCGGCUCCAUGGUCUGAAAGGGCGGGGAAACAGCCCAAUGAGCAUCACCACAGAGGAGCCAAUCAGCUGGCAGCUGGAAGUUUUCUGGGGCCAUGGUGAGCCAAUCAGCUGGAAGAUUGCUGGGGCUGCUGUGAGCCAAACAGCUGGAAGUUUGCUGGGACCCCUUCGGCUGUGGCUGUCAACAUGGUGCCACCAGACCAGAUUAUGAGCACAGGAAAUACCAACAGUGCUGCAAACAAUGCUUCUGUGAUUUUGCUAUGAUAUAUGUAAGGAGAGUAUCCAUAAGCUCUUUUCUCGGUGAGGCUUUCACUUCUCCAUUUGGUAAGGGGAUAAAGAGGAAAAUGGAAUUUAUCACCAUGUAGAGGAUCCAGCAGAAGGAAAUGAAGAAGCCAAUCUACUUUGGAACUUUUCCUUUGAGAUCCUUCCAGCAGGAAUUCAUGGGCUGAUUGUGAUAUGCUGGAAGAUGCUCAAGAUGCAGGUAAUGCCAAUGGACACACUCUUGCACACUCACUGAUUGUACAAAAUUCUUUUCCAUCUAAAGUCGCUGAAGAAAUAUUUCAGGCCAAAAGCUAUCCUUGUCCUGGGAAUUCAACUACUGAGAAUGAUUGAGACAAUUGGCUAUAAAGGUACUUGAGAAUCAGAUCGUUGGGCCUUAAUGAGCACUCAUUACAGAAAAGGACUAGAUAGAAGUAAAGAAGAGAGAACUUUGCCAGAAAUCAAACUGUAGUAAGUGAUUUAAACAUCAGUGUAUUACCACAUCCCUGGAGUUCAUGCAGUCAUUUAGCACAUUUUCCUUUAAGUUAUGGAACAAUAAUACUGUAAUAUCUCAUCUCACUCCAGUAAGAAUGUCAGUUGUCAAGGAUACAAGCAACAAUAUUUGUAGGCAAAAAUAUGGAGGGAAAGUGCACUCAUUCACUGCUGGUGGGACUGAAAAUUGGUGCAACCCCUGUAGAAAGCAGUACAGUGAUUCUUCAUAAAACUUGGAAUGGAAACAACAUUUGAUGCAUUUAUCCCACUUUUUGGUCUAUACUGAAAGGUCUUAAAU